CAGAUAUGGAAACUUUCUUGUUCACCUCAGAGUCAGUCAACGAAGGUCACCCAGACAAGCUCUGUGACCAGGUCUCAGAUGCCAUUCUUGAUGCUUGCCUAGAGCAGGAUCCAGAAAGCAAGGUCGCAUGUGAAACCUGCACAAAGACAAACAUGGUUAUGGUCUUUGGAGAGAUCACAACCAAGGCCACUGUAGACUAUGAGAAGAUUGUACGUGACACAUGCAGAGGCAUUGGGUUCACCUCAGCAGAUGUUGGCCUUGAUGCUGACAACUGCAAGGUCCUUGUCAACAUUGAGCAACAGAGCCCUGACAUUGCCCAAGGUGUUCAUGGUCAUCUUACCAAGAAACNGACAUUUCAUACAUGUUGAUUUGCUUGAAAAUGCGUCAAAUGUGUGUAAAUUUGCGGUUUUGUAUCAACUUUUUACUUAAUAUGCAAGUGUUAAAUGUUAUUUUUCCUAAUCCAUGGAGGAAUUUGCUGUUUUUUUGGUAUUAGUUUUAUGAUUUUGUUGUUGUUUGCUCCGUUAGAUCUGUUAUGAAUUGUGUGUGAGCGUUUUUUUGGAUUUAUAAUCUAGAUCUCGACAUUUCUGCCGUAAAUGUACUUUGAUAUGGUAUAUUAGUGGUUUGUAGCAACAUUUCUCAAUAAAGUUUCACAUGUUGUUUUUCAAAUCCAUGGUGGAAUUUACAGCUUUUUCUGUAUUGGAUUUUGAUUUUGUUGUUGAGUUGCUCCAUGAGAUAUGUUAGGAAUCAUCUUAGAGCGUGCUUUAUGCAUGGAUUUAGGAUUAGAUCUCAGCAUUUCUAUUGUUUUUUCAUACAUGUUAAUUCAUUUCAAAAAGCGUCAAGUAUAUAUAGAUUAAUAUUUUUUAGCAAAUGUGUUACAUGUUAUAAAGAGUUAUGUUUCUCAAAUCAAUAGUGGAAUGUACAAUUUUUUCUUUCUUAGAUUUUGAUUUUGUAGUUGCCUGCUCUGUCCGAUUCCUAUUAGAUCUGUGUUGUGAAUCAUUCUUCGUGCAUAUUUUUGUGGAUUUAGGAUCUAGAUCUCAGCAUUUAUAAUGUUAACACUCAUGUGUAUCCUUGAUUCACUGGUAAAUUGACUUAUAAGAUAUGUUUUAACACGUUCUCUUAAAAUCUUCAGGGCAGAUAUGGAAACUUUCUUGUUCACCUCAGAGUCAGUCAACGAAGGUCACCCAGACAAGCUCUGUGACCAGGUCUCAGAUGCCAUUCUUGAUGCUUGCCUAGAGCAGGAUCCAGAAAGCAAGGUCGCAUGUGAAACCUGCACAAAGACAAACAUGGUUAUGGUCUUUGGAGAGAUCACAACCAAGGCCACUGUAGACUAUGAGAAGAUUGUACGUGACACAUGCAGAGGCAUUGGGUUCACCUCAGCAGAUGUUGGCCUUGAUGCUGACAACUGCAAGGUCC
rnacentral:lncRNA from 1 species